GCAGGUAAUCAGCAAAGGAGCCCUAGCCCAGCACAGGACAUGCCCGCCCCAAGUGGCGUUUUCGCACGAGGCGGUCAAAGCACAUGGCCAGCUCGUUGCCAUCCAGCCCAUUGCGCAUGAUGUGGUUGCGGUGCUCCAGCAGGAGGGCCAGGCAGAGGAACAGCACAAAUGGGUUCCCCCGGCCAGACUCCUGGGGUGGGGGCAGUCCCACUGGUGGUGUGGGUGGCAGGGACUUUCCAGGGUUUUUCGGGGAGCCCACCUCUUGCACCAAGGGGGAGCUUCCAGCCAUGUUAGCAGUGGCAGACCCCUCCUGGGUGGAUGGUGGAGAUGAGGAAGAUGGGGAAUCAGGGUGGGAAAAGGAGGAGAGCAGUGGGUCUGGGGAGUUUGGCAAAGGUUUGGAGAGGGACUUGGAGCUAAUAAGGGCGGUUGGGUGGGGCAGCUGGACCAGAGGGUCCCUCCUGAAGCCCAUGUUAUCCCUGAGUUGCUGGAGGCCAUCCAGGACGGCUUGUCUCAGGUGACACCCCCUGCUACCAGGCCCCUGGCUGGCUGUGGCCAGGUGGUCAAUGGCAUCUUCAAAGGUACUACCUCCUCCACUGGCAGGCCUUAGCAUGUGCCUGUCACAUGGGCCGCCCCCUGUGGCCACCAAAACCAGUGUCUGCCACUUAGCUGGGGGAUCCAACCAGUUCUCCCUCAUGUUCAGGAGGAUCAGGGGACAGCGAACUUCAGGUGACCUCACACAUGCAGAGGGCAUCUUUGAAAGCGAACUCUCGCUUGAGCUCCAGCAGCAAAUUCAGAGGAAAAGCAAACACUUUCAUUCCUUCUGUGUUAUAACAGGAAAACAAAAAUAAAGGACCUAUAUAGUUUAAGCACCGAAAGAAACUAGGGAUUGAUAGAAACAGAAAUCAAUGAGCUAGGAAACCAACACACAUCCCAUUCAUACUUCUUUUAGAAUGGAUGAGCGACCCCACGCGUGGACUGGUCUCUGCAAGCGCUGAUGAAACAGACCUGGGCACAUGGUGAUUUGCAGUUUUCCUGGCGCCAUGAGCAAGAUCAGCGAGGCCGUGAAGCGCGCCCGCGCCGCCUUCUGCUCGGGCAGGACCCGCCCGCUGCAGUUCCGGAUCCAGCAGCUGGAGGCGCUGCGGCGCCUGAUCCAGGAGCAGGAGCAGGAGCUGGCGGGCGCGCUGGCCGCAGACCUGCACAAGAACGAAUGGAACGCCUACUAUGAGGAGGUGGUGUACGUCCUAGAGGAGAUCGAGUACAUGAUCCAGAAGCUUCCCGAGUGGGCCGCGGACGAGCCUGUGGAGAAGACGCCCCAGACUCAGCAGGAUGAGCUCUACAUCCACUCGGAGCCACUGGGCGUGGUCCUCGUCAUCGGCACCUGGAACUACCCCUUCAACCUCACCAUCCAGCCUAUGGUGGGCGCCAUCGCUGCAGGGAACGCGGUGGUCCUCAAGCCCUCGGAGCUGAGUGAGAACAUGGCGAGCCUGCUGGCUACCAUCAUCCCCCAGUACCUGGACAAGGAUCUGUACCCAGUAAUCAAUGGGGGUGUCCCUGAGACCACGGAGCUGCUCAAGGAGAGGUUCGACCAUAUCCUGUACACGGGCAGCACGGGGGUGGGGAAGAUCAUCAUGACGGCUGCUGCCAAGCACCUGACCCCUGUCACGCUGGAGCUGGGAGGGAAGAGUCCCUGCUACGUGGACAAGAACUGUGACCUGGACGUGGCCUGCCGACGCAUCGCCUGGGGGAAAUUCAUGAACAGUGGCCAGACCUGCGUGGCCCCUGACUACAUCCUCUGUGACCCCUCGAUCCAGAACCAAAUUGUGGAGAAGCUCAAGAAGUCACUGAAAGAGUUCUACGGGGAAGAUGCCAAGAAAUCCUGGGACUAUGGAAGAAUCAUUAGUGCCCGGCACUUCCAGAGGGUGAUGGGCCUGAUUGAGGGCCAGAAAGUGGCUUAUGGGGGCACCGGGGAUGCGGCCACUCGCUACAUAGCCCCCACCAUCCUCACGGACGUGGACCCCCAGUCCCCGGUGAUGCAGGAGGAGAUCUUCGGGCCUGUGCUGCCCAUCGUGUGCGUGCGCAGCCUGGAGGAGGCCAUCCAGUUCAUCAACCAGCGUGAGAAGCCCCUGGCCCUCUACGUGUUCUCCAGCAACGACAAGGGAACAGCGGCAUGGGAUCCUACCAUGGCAAGAAGAGCUUUGAGACCUUCUCUCACCGCCGCUCUUGCCUGGUGAGGCCUCUGAUGAAUGAUGAAGCCCUGAAAGUCAGAUACCCCCCGAGCCCGGCCAAGAUGACCCGGCACUGAGGAGGGGUUGCUCCACCUGGCCUGGCCAUACUGUGUCCCAUCGGAGUGCGGACCACCCUCGCUGGCUCUCCUGGCCCUGGGAGAAUCGCUCCUGCAGCCCCAGCCCAGCCCCGCUCCUCUGCUGACCUGCUGACCUGUGCACAUCCCACUCCCACAUGGGCCCAGGCCUCACCAUUCCAAGUCCCCACCCCUUUCUAGACCAAUAAAGAGACGAAUACAAUUUUCUAACUCAGCAAA